AACGAACGCUGGCGGCAUGCCUAAUACAUGCAAGUCGAACGAGAUCUUCGGAUCUAGUGGCGCACGGGUGCGUAACGCGUGGGAAUCUGCCCUUGGGUUCGGAAUAACAGCGGGAAACUGCUGCUAAUACCGGAUGAUGACGUAAGUCCAAAGAUUUAUCGCCCAGGGAUGAGCCCGCGUAGGAUUAGGUAGUGUGUGGGGUAAAGGCCUACCAAGCCUACGAUCCUUAGCUGGUCUGAGAGGAUGAUCAGCCACACUGGGACUGAGACACGGCCCAGACUCCUACGGGAGGCAGCAGUAGGGAAUAUUGGACAAUGGGGGCAACCCUGAUCCAGCAAUGCCGCGUGAGUGAUGAAGGCCUUAGGGUUGUAAAGCUCUUUUACCCGGGAUGAUAAUGACAGUACCGGGAGAAUAAGCCCCGGCUAACUCCGUGCCAGCCGCCGCAGUAA
rnacentral:rRNA from 1 species